GAAAAGUCUAAAUUUUCUGGAUCCAAACAAUGUACUAAAAUAUCAAUCACCAGUUGGAAGGAACCCUACUGUUCUUCAGUCUGGGGGACUCAGCAGCGAAGAGGCGAAGAAACUUUUUUAUUUUGCUCUGCCAAGACUGGUUUUGUGGCACAGUUUGAAGCAAAAAGACAUUGGGCAAUGCUGUUCAGAGGUGUACAAAUGUCCUCCUUUCUGAAACCAGGCUUCAGCUACCUACGUUUAAAAAGG